GCGCACUCUUACCUGGCGGGGUGCGGCGAGUGUUCCACCGCUCUGCAUUUCCAAGGACUCUUGUCAUCUGCCUUAGGCGGGAAAUGCUGUUGCUGGAUUGCAACCCCGAGGUGGAUGGUCUGAAGCAUUUGCUGGAGACAGGGGCCUCCGUCAACGCACCCCCGGAUCCCUGCGAGCAGUCGCCUGUCCACUUAGCCGCAGGAAGCGGCCUUGCUUGCUUUCUUCUCUGGCAGCUGCAAACGGGCGCUGACCUCAACCAGCAGGAGAAGCUCCACUACACAAGGCAGCAAAAGUUGGAAGCCUGGAGUGCCUAAGCCUGCUUGUAGCCAGUGAUGCCCAAAUUGAUUUAUGUAAUAAGAACGGGCAAACAGCUGAAGAUCUCGCUUGGUCAUGUGGGUUUCCAGACUGUGCCAAGUUUCUCACAACAAUUAAAUGUAUGCAGACAAUAAAAGCAAGCGAACACUCUGAUGGGAAUGAUUGUGUUCCUGUGCUCAGACAGAAACGAAGUUUUGGAAGUGU
rnacentral:sRNA from 1 species